UACGUAGGGGGCAAGCGUUAUCCGGAUUUACUGGGUGUAAAGGGGGCGCAGACGGCGAUGCAAGCCAGGAGUGAAAGCCCGGGGCCCAACCCCGGGACUGCUCUUGGAACUGCGUGGCUGGAGUGCAGGAGGGGCAGGCGGAAUUCCUGGUGUAGCGGUGAAAUGCGUAGAUAUCAGGAGGAACACCGGUGGCGAAGGCGGCCUGCUGGACUGCAACUGACGCUGAGGCUCGAAAGCGUGGGUAGCGAACAGG
rnacentral:rRNA from 1 species